GGACGGUGUGGACGAUGACGCCCUUGCAGUGAGGUAGUGGAGAGAUGAGGAGCUAUGGCGAUGGGCGUGGCCUCUGGCGGAAGACCAUUGAAGCGAAAUGUGCUCGAGGGUUGCUUCAUUUGCGAUUUUUGGAAGGAGACGGCGGCACUGCGAACCGAAGCUGCGGCACCAGGAAUUCAUAGACGACCUAGUCUCACGGUCUGUCUGCGUGUCUGUCUGUCUGUCUGAUGUCAAUGUUGAACUCGCCUACCACUUUGGUUUCGCUCAUCGUUCAUAGCAUUCAAUGCACAAGCUUUCUCAUUGUCACGUUGUUCGAAUUUGGAGGUUUAGGUGAGUAUGAAAAUGAUGUUUCGCACGAACUUUAUGUGUUUUUUUAAUGAACAUAUUUUUACUCGGUGAAUCAUCUUGAGAGUUAGCUCUUGUUUUCGUGUCGGAGAAAGUGAGACUGAGGGUGAGAGAGAUGUAAGUAAGCAUCUUAAACUGUCAUUAGAAGUUGUCGUCAGCAAUUGAUUUAUCCUGUUGUGUAUAUAUGAAUGAAGCUUUAAGGUUUAGAGGUUUGAGAUCACAUGAAUAGCAAGUCAUACAUGGUCUCUGGGCACGAAUUGGGUGAUAGUUAAACUUCUGGUGCUGAAGGUGCUGUGCUUAUUGAAGUUGCCGUGGUUAAGUCAUGAAGUGCCUCAAUAGCUUUGAUGUCUUUUCACGCACGAUAAAACGUAGGUUUUCAGUUUGUGGUGGACAUAAACUGCUCUAUUAGAUUCUUGAAAACCGCAAACAAACAUAUCAAUCAUUGAGCUCGUCAUUGUAAUAAUCGCUGCAAAGCGCCGUAACUGUCAGAAUUGGCGCUGCAUGAAUUGGACCUAGCUAGAUGCAUUUCUGAAUGUGUUAUGUUGAAGUCAUCAUUAGAUAAAGAACCUCUGGCUUGAAUAGAUGCGUCUUAGAAUCAUCUUAGCUUUCACCGAAUGUAGAUGCCUCUUAAUUCAUUGCUUUGAAUAUCCGGAGUACCAGUAUUUGAAUCGGAGUCGAGAGAGAUUUGCAAUGGACCUCUCCGUUCGAGCUGACCUUGUAGGCCGUUGUGCUAGUGUCUUGAUUUACAACUCUCAGCUGGUCACUCUGAAAGCUGGACACGGUAUUUUACACUCACUCGAAAUUAUUGAUUUGAGCUUGGACAUCGUGUCGUACCUGCUAUCUUCUCAGGUGGAACUUGUGCUUCCCCAUCAUGUCUUUGCUUACGGAGCUAAUGAACCGAGCAAUGCACUGGAAUCCGUAGAGAGCGCCAUAACAAGCCUCCAAAUUUCGUCGUAGCCUGCAUACUUAAAAUUAUUCACGGAAAUCAACUAGAUUAAUGAAUAGUUUAGCCAGUAAAUUUUUUUCGGCCUGAGUUUAUUAAUCGUGUCCAGGUGAUAUUAAAUGUAGUUUGCAUUCUGUCCUGAUUACUAACAUAGAAGAUAGACUCACCAGCGGGGUGCUGUUCUUGUCUCAUUUUCCUCCUAAAAAAAACACGUUCAUUUGCUUCAUGCACAUAUCCAAUGGUGACUAUUUGCUGAGUGCUGAAAUCGGAAUGCAAUGGCCCUAAAUUAACGGAAACCCAGGCAAAUCUUCUCGUAUGCUCCUGGAAGUAUGAAAGCUUGAAGUAUCAAAUUUGACUUUUUAGAGCUGAAUUUUGUGUAGGUGCUCACGUCAACAAAUCUCGCCGUCCAUAGAGAUCAUUCUUUAAGGUGGAUAUCGCCGUUUCUUCGGCACUUGAUGGGGCCAUCAAUUACUUGGCGCCAAGAAAUGAACUGAUAUUCAGAAGGCUACAUGUGUUGUAAAGGAAGUUGGUAGGCUGUCUCCUAUUCAACAAAAAAGAAUUGAGUGUCUGGACCAGAGCCAGAUAGUGUCGUGGACUCCGAGCUCUUGAGCAAGAAAGUCUAAAGCACUGUUCCAUCCACUUUUCUAUAAUACCUGUUUCUGUUCUUUUUUACUUAAGGUUGCAGAUCGCGGAGAAAUGUACACUCUAACAUUAGGGUUCUCUCACCUAGUGAAAUUUAAUAUGCGAAGGUUAUUCUUCUUCAUUGACUGCCUUCUGUCGCCUCGGUGCGAAUAUAGCACGGUGCCUCACGCAAUAUUUUAUCAGGCGAUUGGGGCCACGAACUCCUGGAUUUCAGGCUUGCACUUUCCCAGUGUUGGCAUUAUCUGUUGCUGCAACCGUCCCAUAUGGAUCAGGAAAAUUUCCAGUAUCCCCCUACAAACUACCUUUCAUCGUGUGCACUCUUGUCUCGAUAGUGAUUAUCACCCAAGUGCAGAUCCGGCUUGAUUUUAGACUGAUUCUAAUAGGCUUUAGACUGCCUGUUUGGGAGUUCUUUUUUGUGUACUGUGCAGCACGCUCCACAAUCAAUGCUGAGUGACCUGACCUAACUCUGAUUGUUUGAUCCCCGAUUUAGAAUAACAUGCCCGCUCCUCCUAGUAAAUUAGGGUUGAAAACACUGAAUACUGUUCCUACUUCUUUUAUUUACGCGCAACUUUACCGACCAAUUUAUGUUCCCGUGGUAUGUAUAUUUUACUCGUAGUUGGUCAAAACAUGGAUAUGCUGCUGACUUUAAAUUCACUCAACCACAAUUCUUUGUCACUGCACAUGUAGUCAAACCUAAUAUGCUUGUAAGGUUGAGAUUAGAUGUUGUCGCGACACCGAGGUGUAUGGGUUUAUUCAUGUGCAAAAAAAUUUAACUAGUUGUCAAAUAUUACACGAAUUCAUUUUGAAAAGAAUCUCAUAGAGAAUGUGUCU
rnacentral:lncRNA from 1 species